GGCGAUUUGCGCCACCUAUCCUGAGUUCCACACGGCGAGGCAGUGAUUCUAGGGUUAGGUGAUGAUUCUAACAACUUCUGUUUUUGCAUAUCAGCCUUCACUACGGGAUUUUUUUGGUUUUUGUCAAUUCAUUGAGAUUUUGGAAGACUGGCAUCAGGAAGUGUUUCUGACGAUUACAAAAUACGACAAGCCACAGCAACUCUGAAACCAUGCAGCGAGCAAAAAGGCAACUGAGUGCUGUGUUGCCCAAGGUGCCCAGGUCGAUACAAGGACUCUUCACUGAAAUAAGGACCAUGGGAGGAGAAACAGAGCUAAUCGAGUGGAAACGUCAAUGGGGAAAUCCAGGUCAACUAUAAUUCCCAUCAUGACUCAGCGGCAUGAAGACUCUGACUAUGGCGACCUAGAACUGACCUCAGGGAGAAAUCAGUCAAAACAGGAUCAUUCGUUUCCAGGAUUCUGGCACAACAAAGAUGCACUUGUAGAGGACACAGAACAGAAGAUGUGUGAUAGAAGAACCCUACAUUUCCGAGUUAAUCUCUUUUCCCCUACAAAUUUGUAGUAACAGGAGGAAUCGAAGUGAUUAACACAAUAGAAAGCACAUUAUUUGCAGGGCUCUUCUCUCCUGAAACUGCAUGCCUUGGCUCAGUAUAAGAGGUAAGAGGGACUCAUCUGGCAGAACUACACAGACACGAGGAAGUGAUGCAAUCAGCAUCAUGUUCACACAUGUGUGACAGCACUGUAAUUUCUGCCUUUGGUUAUAAACGGCCAUGAUUGGUGAUAAAGAUGUCUCAUUUGGGAAUAAACGUGGAAUGUUUUUAUUUUCCAAUUAUUGCCAACAACUAUUUCUUUUUUAAUGCCCUUCAUGCUGGGUUUGCAGGACUGUUGGUAAAGACAUAUUCUUUCUUUUUUUUAAUUUUUAAUUUUAGAUAGUUAACAUACAGUACAAUAUUGGUUUCUGGAGCAGAAUCCAGUGAUUCAUCACUUACAUACAACACCCAGUUCUCAUCAUAACAAGCAUCCUCCUUAAUCCAUCCAGCCCGCCUAGAUGUCCAUCACCCAUCUAGCCCAUCCCCCUUCCCUCCAUCAAACCUCAGUUUGCUCUCUAUCGUUAAGAGUCUUUUAUGGUUUUUUUCCCUCUCUCCUUUUUGUCUUUUCCCCCUUCUCAUAUGUUCAUCUCUUCUUUCUUAAAUGCCACAUAUGAGUGAGAUCAUAUGGUAUUUGUCUUUCUCUGACUGAGUUAUUUCACUUAGCAUAAUACACUCUAGCUCCAUCCAUGUUGUUGCAAAUGGCAAGAUUUCAUUCUUUUUGAUGGCUAAAUCGUAUUCCUUUGUGUGUGUGUGUGUGUGUGUGUGUGUGUGUGUGUGUGUGUGUGUGUAUCUCACAUCCUCUUUAUCCAUUCGUCAGUUGAUGGACAUCUGGGCUCUCUCCAUAGCUUGGCUAUUGUUGAUAAUGCUGCUAUGAGCAUCAGGUUGCAAGGACGUAGUCUUUCUCAUGUGACUAUGAUGCUUGAGUACUUACAAAGCAUUCUUAGUGUCACAAAGCUAAUGAUGGAGGAAGAACUGAUGGGAAUAAUGCAAUGGAAUUCAUGCAAAAGCAGUUUAGACUAGGUAAUGCCUUUCAGUCUCCAAAUGAUAACUUUAAAGCCCUGCAGUCAUUGAUUCUGUCUGUCCAACAUUCCUUCCUUCCUUCCUUCCUUCCUUCCUUCCUUCCUUCCUUCCUUCCUUCCUUCCUUCCUUCCUUCCUUCCUCAUAACCAACUUCUGGUCUUUCUGCCUCUCACUUGGCAGGUGUGGGUUUAAGAGCAAGGCUGAGCUUCCCACAGUCCCCCAAUCUAGAUGCAGUGUGGUUCCAGAACUACGCAAAUGGAGAUAAAGCAAUCAUCUCCCUUCUUCUUGGGUAGAAGAAUGAUUUACAAAUUUUGAGGCUCUUAAAAACAUUCCAAAUUUGGGCAUUUUGUAUUAAACAUAUUUUUUUGUUUUUUUAAAUAAUAUUUUUAUUAUAUAAAGAAUUUAUUAUAUAAAAGAAUUUAUUAUAUAAAAGAAUUUAUUAUAUAAAAGAAUAGGGGCGCCUGGGUGGCUCAGUUGGUUAAACGUCUGCCUUCGUUUCAGGUCAUGAUUUCAGGGGUCCUGGGAUCGAGCCCUGAAUCUCACUUCCUGCUCAGUGUGGAGUUGGCUUCUCCCUCUCUUUCUGCCCCUCUCCUCUGCUCGUGCUCUCUUGCUCCCUCUGUCUCUGAAUAAAUAAAUAAAAAUCUUUAAAAAGGACUUUAAAUAUCUAAAAGGAGGGACACCUGGGUGGCUCAGUCAGUUAAGCAUUUGCCUUUGGCUCAGGUUAUAAUCCCAGGGUCCUGAGGUCGAGUUCCACGUCAGGCUCCUUGCUCAGCGGGAAGCCUGCUUCUCCUACUGCCUGCUGCUCCCCCUGCUUGUGCUCACUUGCUCUCUCUCUCUCUGUCAAAUAAAUAAAUAAAAUCUUGAAAAAAAGAAAUAUCUAAAAGGAUAAAAUAUUCUACAAUGAAUCUGGGAGAUUUAAUUUUUUAUCUUAAUUUUUAAAGAAUAUAGAUUUACUGGUUUUCUUAGUACUGAUAAGUACAGUUACUAAUGAAUACCAAAUUGGGAACUGGGAUAUGGCAUGUUUGAUUGCAUGCACAAAUUUAGAGUGGUGUUCCAAAAUUAAAUAGUUAGACUUAUGUAAAUGUAAUGAAAGUAUAGGGUUUCAAAUGAAAUGUAUUGUGCCUGAAGUGUGUAAACACUUGUACAUUUUGUGAAUUAGUUCUAGCAUGAGUUAGGAAAACUGAAAAAUUCCAGAACCUACAGAGAAGUUUCUGCUGUGGAAUUCUGUGUAAAGUUGAAAUGUUUAGCAUUUGACACAUUUUUUUUAUUAGUGAUUAGAUCAGUCAGGGUGUGUGUGUAUGUGUGUGGGGGGGGGACAGAGAAGGAGACAGAGAGACACACAGAGAGACAGAGAGAGCAAGAGUCAGAGAGAAAUUUUAAAGAACUGGCUCAUGGGAUUGUAGGGGCUGGCAAAUCCAAAAUACAUAGGCAAGAUAGAAACUCAGAGAGGAUUUCUCUGUUACAGUCUUGAGGCAGAAUUUCUUUUCUAGGAAACCUCAAUCUUUGCUCUUAAAGCCUUCAACUGUUUGGAUGAGACCCACACACACUAUGGAGGGUAAUCCACUUUACUUAAAGUCAGUUGUAGUAAAUGUUAGUCAUUCUACAAAAUGCCUUCAUAGCAACAUCUAGACUAGGGUUUGCACAAACUGGGUAAUAUAGUCUAACCAAGUUGACACAUAAAAUUAACCAUCACAUGGCCAAUGGACACAUAAACAGAUUCUCAAAAUCACUAAUCAUCAGGGAAAUGCAAAUUAGAAACACAAUGAGGUAUCAGCUCAUACCUUUCAGAAUGGCUAAAAUCAAAAACAUAGAAAAUAACAAGUGCUGACAAGGAUGUGGAGAAAAAGGAGUGCUCACGCACGUCCGUGGGAACGCAAACUGGUGCAGUUUCCACAUACUGUGGAAACCAGUAUGGAGGUCCCUCAAAAAAUUAAAAAUAUAACUACCAUAUGAUCCAGUAAUUCCACUACUGAGUAUUCAUCUAACAAAAAUGACAACACUAAUUUGAAAAGAUAUAUGCACCCCUAUGUUUAUUGUAACAUUAUUUACAAUAGUGAAACUAUGGAAACAGUCCUAGUGCCCACUGAUAGGUAAAUAGAUAAAGAAGUUGUGGUAUAUAUACACAAUAGAAUAUUACUCAACCAUAAAAAGAAUGAAAUCUUUCUAUUUGCAAUGACAUGGGUGGCUCUAGAGAGUAUUGUGCUAAGUGAAACAAGUCAGUCAGAGAAAGGCAAAUACCAUACGAUUUCACUACUAUGUGGAAUUUAAGAAACAAAACAAACAAAGAAGAAAGAGACAAAGCAAAAAAUAGACUCUUUACUAUAGAGAACAAACUGAUGGCUAUCAGAGUGGAGGUGGGUGGGAAGAUAGGUGAAAUAGGUGAAGAUUAAGAGUACACUUUUCAUGAUGAGCAUUGAGUAAUGUAUGGAACUGUUGAAUCACUCUAUUGUACAUAUGAAACUAAUAUAGCAUUAUUAUACUACAUGUUAACUACACUGGAA
ensembl:lncRNA